ACGAACGCUGGCGGCACGCCUGACACAUGCAAGUCGAGCGGAGAUUGAGAGCUUGCUCUCAUGAUCAGCGGCGGACGGGUGAGUAACACGUGAGCAACCUGCCUUUCAGAGGGGGACAACAGUUGGAAACGACUGCUAAUACCGCAUAACAUUGCCGAACGGCAUCGUUUGGCAAUCAAAGGAGCAAUCCGCUGAAAGAUGGGCUCGCGUCUGAUUAGAUAGUUGGUGAGGUAACGGCUCACCAAGUCGACGAUCAGUAGCCGGACUGAGAGGUUGAUCGGCCACAUUGGGACUGAGACACGGCCCAGACUCCUACGGGAGGCAGCAGUGGGGGAUAUUGGACAAUGGGGGAAACCCUGAUCCAGCGAUGCCGCGUGAGGGAAGAAGGUUUUCGGAUUGUAAACCUCUGUGGACAGGGACGAUAAUGACGGUACCUGUUUAGAAAGCCACGGCUAACUACGUGCCAGCAGCCGCGGUAAUACGUAGGUGGCGAGCGUUGUCCGGAAUUACUGGGUGUAAAGGGAGUGUAGGCGGGAAGGCAAGUCAGAAGUGAAAAUUAUGGGCUUAACCCAUAACCUGCUUUUGAAACUGUUUUUCUUGAGUGAGGCAGAGGCAAGCGGAAUUCCUAGUGUAGCGGUGAAAUGCGUAGAUAUUAGGAGGAACACCAGUGGCGAAGGCGGCUUGCUGGGCCUUUACUGACGCUGAGGCUCGAAAGCGUGGGGAGCAAACAGGAUUAGAUACCCUGGUAGUCCACACAGUAAACGAUGAAUACUCGCUGUUUGCGAUAUACAGUAAGCGGCCAAGCGAAAGCGUUAAGUAUUCCACCUGGGGAGUACGCCGGCAACGGUGAAACUCAAAGGAAUUGACGGGGGCCCGCACAAGCAGUGGAGUAUGUGGUUUAAUUCGAAGCAACGCGAAGAACCUUACCAGGUCUUGACAUCGAGUGACGAUCCCAGAGAUGGGAUUUCCCUUCGGGGCACGAAGACAGGUGGUGCAUGGUUGUCGUCAGCUCGUGUCGUGAGAUGUUGGGUUAAGUCCCGCAACGAGCGCAACCCUUACUAUUAGUUGCUACGCAAGAGCACUCUAAUAGGACUGCCGUUGAUAAAACGGAGGAAGGUGGGGAUGACGUCAAAUCAUCAUGCCCUUUAUGACCUGGGCUACACACGUACUACAAUGGCGUUUAACAAAGAGAAGCGAAACCGCGAGGUUGAGCAAAUCCCCAAAAAACGUCUCAGUUCAGAUUGCAGGCUGCAACUCGCCUGCAUGAAGUCGGAAUUGCUAGUAAUCGUAGGUCAGCAUACUACGGUGAAUACGUUCCCGGGCCUUGUACACACCGCCCGUCAAACCAUGAGAGUUGGCAACACCCGAAGCCGGUAGUCUAACCGCAAGGAGGACGCCGUCGAAGGUGGGGUCGAUGAUUAGGGUU
rnacentral:rRNA from 1 species